ACAUAGUAAACAAUAUACCUUGUCUAGGAAUAUUAUACAUACACUUUAUAUAUGUAUAGGAAGUAGAUGUAUAUACAAGCAAUGGUAGUGAAUGAAAAGACACAGUGAAAAAUAUAAUCUACAUCAGCUUUUUUUCAUUCUUUCAAUUUCCUACAAGGACUAAAGAACAUUCAAGAAGAGAGCUUAUCGCACCAACAGAUGAUAGAUUAUACAAUCUCCUUUGAGAAAAAUUGGCCAUCUUUUGCAUCAUACCUGCAAAAGAAUCACUCAUAAAUAUACAAAAUCAAUGCAAAAAAAUGUGUAUGUAUAUACAUGGCCUCCACACAAAUAUGAACUUCAGAGACAUUUACAUAAUUUUAUAAAUCGCAUUUAAAUUUAAUUUUUUUUUAUAUAUUGGCAAAGUUCACAAACUGGUGGUAUAUUAUUAGUUAUUUGACAAAGAAUAAUGCCUCGUUUCCUAUUAACUACUUAACAUUAACUACAUAUUCAAAUUCCAAAAAGCUUUAAUGUAAGAAAUAUAGAAAGUAUAUCUCUUUUGAAUAAUAAAUUUUUGUCACCCGCAAAGCAGCAGUUAGAGGAGUAACAAACUCUUCCAUUUUGGUUGUGCAACUGACACACAGGACAUAGCAACUUCCAAGUUGGUGCAGGAAUUUAUAUCUACAUGAGAAUUCGGAGAUAGAAUAUAGCUAUCAAAUAUUAGAAAAAAUUUUAGUGGCCAAAUGACUCCAAUAAUAUAUUUGGGCAUCUAAAAAGAGCAACUUAUUGUAAUAUGAUUGCUUGAAUUUACUGAGCUUCCUUGUUCUUUCUUUAUUAUAUUGUCAUUUCAACCACAGUUUCUUGAAGGUUUCAUGUAAGACAUUUUAUAACAUAGUUGUGAAAUACUAAAUAAAUGAUCAAAUUAUAGUUCGCUGCUUAGUUUCACGGGCAAGAAGCAUGAUAUUUCAAGUUUGGCUUAAGAAUUAAGAUUGCUUGAUAAAUUGAAUAUAGAACUAUGGGCAGUACUUAAAAGGGAAAACACCAAAUCAGUUGAUCUGCAAACACCAAAUCAGUUGAUCUGCAGCCUUCCUCUGCACAUGAAAAAAGACCUUACUGAUUGAUAAUCACUUAGUACGUGCAAGGGAGACAUUAUAAAUUUGAUAUUAAAAAAGAGCAUAAUGAAUGGAAAGCCACCUCUCUUGGUGCUUCAUGAUCAUCGUUAUUUCGUCUGCUACAGGUAUAAAAAUUACAUGUUUAAAGUUUCAAAGAUGUUGCAGAAUCACUUGUCUAAAGGUCAUGGCAAGUAUAUUUGUACACGUCGUGUUAGACAAAAUUUCUGUAGUUAUGAUACUUAUAAAGCUUUUGAGCUUUCUCCAUAAACUCGCUGGUAAAAAUUUUCAGAAUGUCAUAUUUUAGACACACCACAACUAUGUUUUAUAAUACAUAAUUCUAGAAGCAAUAAAUAGAAUAGGCAACCAAAUCAAAGAACGGGAAAAAUUUACCAUUGUUUUGGCGAAUAGGCAUUAAACUUUGCUUAAGUUUCGGUAAUUUUCAUUUCCACCGCCAUGAUAUGUAAAGAAGCUAGAUCCGUCAGUCUCAUCUCAUUUCAAUCAAAUAAUGCUUUCCUCAUAUAAGCAGACUGAAAAACCAAACUUUGCCAACAGGAAGUCCUCAAAGGUAGAAGUACAUAGUUGUCAGCAUAAGGAGUGGCCCUGUUGCGGCUAAUAUUUUCAGUUCUCCUGUAUAAAGCUAUGAAAUACAUCAUUAGAUUAUUUGUACAACUAAAAAUGCUCCUUAAAAGAAUAUGAGUGAGACCAAAUAGUAAGCUUCAAGGGGCAUUAAGUCACAGCUAGCUGCUUGGUCCAAGAAGCUUUUGCUAUCAGGCUCCGUAGUUUAUUGAUUGGAAAAUAGUAUUACUAUAAAAAAACUCCAUAGUUCCAAAACCAAGAUACAUUAUCAAACCAUUCUCACCGGUCAUUUUAUUAGACAGAGCUCUUACCAAAAACGAAGAUCACAUUCAUGUGUGAUGUAGCUAAUUUGACGCAUUCUUCAAACCAAAUUCUGAUUACUAUAGAGAUACAUCCAACAUGCACCCCAAUUUAACACCACAAGCAUGUAACUGCAGAAUGCAGAUUGUAUAUCACAAAAACGAAUUCUAGAGAUGAAUUUCGAUCCCCUGCAACCGCCCAUAAACGGAUUAGAAAGAUAACUUUUCCGCUUCAGGUAAAAGCUAAGACAAUUCACUUAUCCCAGAGCUUGAAAACGACCUCGCAAUGGAACAAAAAAAUUAUCAAGAGUGAAGAUAAAAUUCAAACUUCUAGUUAUUUCAAUUAUCUUAGUGAUAACAUGCGCAUAUAAAACUGAAAUAAAAAAUUUCAGGAAUGAACACCCAAAUGAGAUAUCAAGAGAUUAGUAAACAAAGGUUGAUAAGUGUUUACUUAAGAGAAGAAGGGCGCUGGAGGAGAAAAAGAUGAUAGAUCUUCUUACAACAACAACAACAACAACCCAGUGUAAU
rnacentral:lncRNA from 1 species